rnacentral:rRNA from 1 species
GAGUUUGAUCAUGGCUCAGGACGAACGCUGGCGGCGUGCCUAAUACAUGCAAGUAGAACGCUGAAGAGAGGAGCUUGCUCUUCUUGGAUGAGUUGCGAACGGGUGAGUAACGCGUAGGUAACCUGCCUUGUAGCGGGGGAUAACUAUUGGAAACGAUAGCUAAUACCGCAUAACAAUAGGUGACACAUGUCAUCUAUUUGAAAGGGGCAAUUGCUCCACUACAAGAUGGACCUGCGUUGUAUUAGCUAGUAGGUAAGGUAACGGCUCACCUAGGCGACGAUACAUAGCCGACCUGAGAGGGUGAUCGGCCACACUGGGACUGAGACACGGCCCAGACUCCUACGGGAGGCAGCAGUAGGGAAUCUUCGGCAAUGGGGGCAACCCUGACCGAGCAACGCCGCGUGAGUGAAGAAGGUUUUCGGAUCGUAAAGCUCUGUUGUAAGUCAAGAACGAGUGUGAGAGUGGAAAGUUCACACUGUGACGGUAGCUUACCAGAAAGGGACGGCUAACUACGUGCCAGCAGCCGCGGUAAUACGUAGGUCCCGAGCGUUGUCCGGAUUUAUUGGGCGUAAAGCGAGCGCAGGCGGUUUGAUAAGUCUGAAGUUAAAGGCUGUGGCUCAACCAUAGUUCGCUUUGGAAACUGUCAAACUUGAGUGCAGAAGGGGAGAGUGGAAUUCCAUGUGUAGCGGUGAAAUGCGUAGAUAUAUGGAGGAACACCGGUGGCGAAAGCGGCUCUCUGGUCUGUAACUGACGCUGAGGCUCGAAAGCGUGGGGAGCGAACAGGAUUAGAUACCCUGGUAGUCCACGCCGUAAACGAUGAGUGCUAGGUGUUGGAUCCUUUCCGGGAUUCAGUGCCGCAGCUAACGCAUUAAGCACUCCGCCUGGGGAGUACGACCGCAAGGUUGAAACUCAAAGGAAUUGACGGGGGCCCGCACAAGCGGUGGAGCAUGUGGUUUAAUUCGAAGCAACGCGAGGAACCUUACCAGGUCUUGACAUCCCGAUGCUAUUUCUAGAGAUAGAAAGUUACUUCGGUACAUCGGUGACAGGUGGUGCAUGGUUGUCGUCAGCUCGUGUCGUGAGAUGUUGGGUUAAGUCCCGCAACGAGCGCAACCCCUAUUGUUAGUUGCCAUCAUUCAGUUGGGCACUCUAGCGAGACUGCCGGUAAUAAACCGGAGGAAGGUGGGGAUGACGUCAAAUCAUCAUGCCCCUUAUGACCUGGGCUACACACGUGCUACAAUGGUUGGUACAACGAGUUGCGAGUCGGUGACGGCAAGCUAAUCUCUUAAAGCCAAUCUCAGUUCGGAUUGUAGGCUGCAACUCGCCUACAUGAAGUCGGAAUCGCUAGUAAUCGCGGAUCAGCACGUCGCGGUGAAUACGUUCCCGGGCCUUGCACACACCGCCCGUC